UACGAAGGGGGGCGAGCGUUGUUCGGAAUUACUGGGCGUAAAGGGCGCGCAGGCGGCCCCCUGAAGUCAGAUGUGAAAGCCCCGGGCUCAACCUGGGAAUAGCAUUUGAUACUCGGGGGGCUGGAGUGCGGGAGAGGAGAGUGGAAUUCCCAGUGUAGAGGUGAAAUUCGUAGAUAUUGGGAAGAACACCCGGUGGCGAAGGCGGUCUGCUGGGGU
rnacentral:rRNA from 1 species